rnacentral:tmRNA from 1 species
CAGUGACUGGGCCCGUCGGCGACUUGUUCGCGUGAUCGCCGGGGCCGAGAAAAUCACAGCGAACUGCACACGGAGAAGCCCUGAUUCAGCACCGUUGGACGCGGGUUCGAUUCCCGCCAUCUCCACUC